rnacentral:rRNA from 1 species
CGUACACUCCUGCGGGAGGCAGCAGUGGGGAAUAUUGGACAAUGGGCGCAAGCCUGAUCCAGCCAUGCCGCGUGAGUGAUGAAGGCCCUAGGGUUGUAAAGCUCUUUCACCGGAGAAGAUAAUGACGGUAUCCGGAGAAGAAGCCCCGGCUAACUUCGUGCCAGCAGCCGCGGUAAUACGAAGGGGGCUAGCGUUGUUCGGAAUUACUGGGCGUAAAGCGCACGUAGGCGGAUCGAUCAGUCAGGGGUGAAAUCCCAGGGCUCAACCCUGGAACUGCCUUUGAUACUGGCGAUCUGGAGUAUGGAAGAGGUGAGUGGAAUUCCGAGUGUAGAGGUGAAAUUCGUAGAUAUUCGGAGGAACACCAGUGGCGAAGGCGGCUCACUGGGCCAUGACUGACGCUGAGGUGCGAAAGCGUGGGGAGCAAACAGGAUUAGAAACCCCUGUAGUCCCA